GGAGGGGGGGAUCUUAGGACCUCCCGCUACAGGGGCGGCCGAUGGCAGAUUAGCUAGUUGGUGGGGUAAAGGCCUACCAAGGCGACGAUCUGUAGCUGGUCUGAGAGGACGACCAGCCACACUGGGACUGAGACACGGCCCAGACUCCUACGGGAGGCAGCAGUGGGGAAUUUUGGACAAUGGGGGAAACCCUGAUCCAGCAAUGCCGCGUGUGUGAAGAAGGCCUUCGGGUUGUAAAGCACUUUUGUCCGGAAAGAAAUCCUCUUCGCUAAUACCGAGGGGGGAUGACGGUACCGGAAGAAUAAGCACCGGCUAACUACGUGCCAGCAGCCGCGGUAAUACGUAGGGUGCAAGCGUUAAUCGGAAUUACUGGGCGUAAAGCGUGCGCAGGCGGUUCGCUAAGACAGAUGUGAAAUCCCCGGGCUUAACCUGGGAACUGCAUUUGUGACUGGCGGG
rnacentral:rRNA from 1 species